rnacentral:misc_RNA from 1 species
UCCCGGUUUCCCGGGCAGUCCCAAUAGAGUGCCUUGAUAAAUCAAGUUGCAACUAUCGGCAAGAGUUGCGCUCGUUAAAGGACUUAACCCAACAUCUCACGACACGAGCUGACGACAACCAUGCAGCACCUGUGCAAUUGUCUAUACCGAAGCAUAGAAGAUCGUGUUUCCACGACUGUCAAAAACAUGUCAAGCCUAGGUAAGGUUCCUCGCGUAUUGUCGAAUUAAACCACAUGUUCCACCGCUUGUGCGAGCCCCCGUCAAUUCCUUUGAGUUUUAGCCUUGCGACCGUACUCCCCAGGCGGAUCACUUAACGCGUUAGCUACGACACUGACUCUGCAAGCAGAGUUAACGUCUAGUGAUCAUCGUUUACAGCGUGGACUAC